GACGAACGCUGGCGGCGUGCCUAAUACAUGCAAGUCGAGCGAUGAAGCUUGGUGCUUGCACCAAUUUGAAGAGCAGCGGACGGGUGAGUAACGCGUGGGGAAUCUGCCUUUGAGCGGGGGACCACAUUUGGAACCGAAUGCUAACACCGCAUAACAACUUUAAACAUAAGGUUCAAGUUUGAAAGAUGCAAUUGCUUAACUUAAAGAUGAUCACGCGUUGUAUUAGCUAGUUGGUGAGGUAAAGGCUCACCAAGGCGAAGGCACAUAGCCGACCUGAUAGGGUGGACGGCCAAAAUGGGAAUGAGAAACCGCUCAAGCUCCCUCGGGGAGGAGCCAGAGGGAAACUUCGGCAAUGGGCGGAAGUCUGGCCGAACAAAGCCGCGGUAGUUGAGGAAGUUUUCGGGUCGUAAAAGUCUGUUGGUAGGGGAGAACGUGGGUUAGAGUGGAAAGCUCAUCUAGUGACGGUAACUACCCAGAAAGGAACGGCUAACUACGUG
rnacentral:rRNA from 1 species